GGAGGUAGAGCACAUGCUUAGAAUGCAUGGGGUCCUGGGUUCAAUCCCCAGCACCUCCU
rnacentral:tRNA from 1 species